rnacentral:tRNA from 1 species
CGCGGGUGGAGCAUUGGCAGCUCGUCGGGCUCAUAACCCGAAGGUCGCAGGUUCAAGUCGCCCCGCAACCA